rnacentral:tRNA from 1 species
GCUUUCGUGGUAUAGUGGUCAGCACGCUCGACGCCUAACCGAGCGGCCCGUGGUUCGAUUCCCAGUGAAGGCG